rnacentral:tRNA from 1 species
GGACUCGUAGCUCAAUUGGCAGAGCAACUGACUUUUAAUCAGUAGGUUCCGGGUUCGAUUCCCGGCGGGUCCA